CAUUCGGAUCUCCGGGGGUUACGCUCCUAUCCCGGACGAGCCCCCAAUGAAAGACCCCCCAGAUUUUGGGGAGACUCUCGCUCCAGUCACGGGUUGAGGUACCCCCAGGAAACACGAGAAGCC
rnacentral:pre_miRNA from 14 species